GUGAAGCGAAUUGGUUUCAUUGGCCUUGGUGCUAUGGGAUUUGGCAUGGCAACUCAUCUGCUGAAAUCAAAUUUCUGCGUCCUUGGUUAUGAUGUAUAUCCACCAUCACUAUCUCGAUUUGCAGAUGCAGGUGGCUUGACUGGGAGUACUCCUGCAGAAGUAUCUCAGGAUGUAGAUGUACUUGUAGUAAUGGUCACAAACGAA
rnacentral:misc_RNA from 1 species